rnacentral:tRNA from 1 species
GCCACCUUAGCUCAGUCGGCAGAGCAAUUCCCUCGUAAAGAAUAGGUCGUGGGUUCGAUUCCCACAGGUGGCU